AAGCUCAGGAGAAGAAGAAUCAUCAUCAUCAAUCAUCAUCACCAUAAUGUCCUCCGCGGACCCUGCAAGUCUGGGCCGAGCGCUGUGCAUCAUCACCGGGGCCUCCAGGGGCUUCGGCCGGGCAGUGGCCCGGGAGCUGUCACGGCUGGUGACGCCGGGCUCCGGACUCGUGCUGGCGGCUCGCUCCGGUGAGGACCUCCGUGCUGUGCGGGAAGAGCUGGCCGCCUCAGAGGCGGGCCGAGCCGGGCUUAGGGUGGAGAGCGUAGUGGCUGACGUGGGUCGGACGGAGGGGCUGGAGGCAAUUAUCAGAGCCGCGAAAGACGCGCUUAUCGAGCAGGUGGAUCACGUGAUGCUGGUCAACAACGCAGCCUCUCUGGGUGAUGUGUCACGCUUCGCUGUGAGUUUCAAUGACCUCGCCGAGGUGGACUCGUACCUGUCGCUGAACGUGAGCUCCGCCUGGUGCCUCACCGCCCGGGUGCUGCAGGCAUUCCCGCAGCGCCCAGGUCUGCGGCGCACCGUAGUGAACAUCAGCUCACUCUGCGCCAUCAAGCCUUUCCCAUCCUGGGCGCUCUACUGCACCGGGAAGGCUGCCCGGGACAUGAUGUUCCAGGUGCUGGCGCUGGAGGAGCCGGACGUCCGGGUGCUCAGCUAUUCACCAGGACCGCUGGAUACAGCCAUGCAGGUGGAAGCUCGCUCCAGGUCAGCUGACCCCGGCAUCAGGAAGUUGUUCGGCGACCAGUUCGCCGAAGGCAAGCUGAUGAGCUGUGAGGCAUCCUGCGCCAAGCUGAUGAAGCUGCUGCUGGAGGACAGCUACACCUCCGGUGCUCACGUCGAUGUCUACGACCUGUAGACUCAGAGCAGGUAGCACAGGUGCGUCCGGCUGCUCGGCUUCACUAUAACCUGAGGUCAGGUGGAACAUCCCACAGUUUCCUGAUGACAUCACCGUACAUCGGCGCAGACUCUAACGUAAGCUCGGGUCGACCCACACACAUUCCACAGACUGUAUAAAAAGAUGGCAACAGCAUGUCCUCAGCAGAGAGCGCUGAUAUCUCAUGCUGGUUCCCUGUGAUGAUGUCAUCACAUCUUGAUUCCCGCGCUGUGUUGAAGCCGUUUUCAGGUGCCUUACUUGUUAAAGAGCUUUAAGUGGAUCCGUUUGGUGUUCGUGCUGCUUGGUGCUUCUGACAUGUAACUUCCUUUGUGAUGAGGUCACUUUUGUAAACCUGAUACUGGUCAUAUUAGAAAUAAAUCUGAGAGAAGCUGUGUG